UACGUAGGGUGCGAGCGUUGUCCGGAAUUAUUGGGCGUAAAGAGCUCGUAGGCGGUCUGUCGCGUCGAAUGUGAAAACCCGGGGCUCAACUCCGGGCUUGCAUUCGAUACGGGCAGGCUAGAGUUCGUAGGGGAGGCUGGAAUUCCUGGUGUAGCGGUGAAAAUGCGCAGAUAUCAGGAGGAACACCGGUGGCGAAGGCGGGUCUCUGGGCAGUAACUGACGCUGAGGAGCGAAAGCGUGGGGAGCGAACAGG
rnacentral:rRNA from 1 species